UGUAUGACGGCUGAUCACUCAAAUUUUAUUUUUUUUUUCUCUUCUUCAUCUUCUCUUUCUUCUGUUGUUCUUCAUGUCUUUCUCCCUGUCGAAUUCAAUUCCAAUGAAUAGCUUCUUUUUGUGAGUGAUUCAUGUAAAACAUGAGAUGCAGAUAAAUCGAAGAAGAGGUUGAUGAAUCUGGAAGAUAAUUGAGCUCUGAAAGAAGAAGAAAUCAGAAGAAAUAGAAAUUAGGGUUUCUGCCAGAAUUUUAUAAGUUGUAUAUUUGGAAGAGGGGUUCGAUUUAGAAUAUGCAGAUAGAGAUUAGAGAUGGGUAUUGUGUGUUGAGAGUAAGGGAGGAGAUUUAGCUACUGAUUCCAAGAGAACCAGUGAUGGUAAAGGAAUUGAGUUUGAGUCCAAGAGAAAAGUUACUAAUAAUGAUGAUGAGUCGAUGGUGGUGUUGCUUGAAGAAUGGAAAAACAGUAAAUAGAUAGAGUUAGGGUUUUGUUUUGAGAUGAAGGAAUCAAGAGCAGUUUUGAGAUCGAGGGAUGAGGAUAAAGCUUAAGAAAGGGACGAUGAUGGUUGUACUGAUUGUUAUGGUUCACUCAAACUCAUGGGAAGGUUUCUUGGAUGAAAUGAAUAUGAGGGAUCUGAUUUUGAGUUGAUUAUGUAAAUUGAAGAUGAAGUUAUAUUAAAUAGAUUAGUUUAAUGCAUAAGAUUAGUUCAAUCCAUAUAAGAUUGUGCAAGCUUUGUGCAAUUCGUGCCUCCUUAGACUAUAUUAUGUUUAAUGAUGUAGAUAGAUAUAAGAUGUUGGACAAUGUGAGUUUGCAGUUUGUACCCAGUUUGUUAGAUAUGGAAAUAAGUUAGUUUGUUUA